CCUACGGGAGGCAGCAGAAGGGAAUAUUGCGCAAUGGACGAAAGUCUGACGCAGCAACGCCGCGUGCACGAUGAAGGUCUUCGGAUUGUAAAGUGCUUUUAUGUGAGAAGAGAAAGGACGGUAUCACAUGAAUAAGGAUCGGCUAACUAAGUGCCAGCAGCCGCGGUAAUACUUAGGAUCCAAGCGUUAUCCGGAUUUACUGGGCGUAAAGCGCGUGCAGGUGGUUUGAUAAGUUGGAUGUGAAAACUCUCGGCUCAACCGAGAGCUGUCAUUCAAAACUAUUAAACUAGAGGACGGUAGAGGAAGGUGGAAUUCCAGGUGUAGUGGUGAAAUGCGUAGAUAUCUGGAGGAACACCGGUGGCGAAGGCGGCCUUCUGGCCCGCUCCUGACACUAAGACGCGAAAGCUAGGGUAGCGAACGGGAUUAGACACCCCGGUAGUCCUAGCCGUAAACGAUGUGAACUUGGUGUUGGUUGGGUAAAACCAAUCAGUGCCGAAGCUAACGCGAUAAGUUCACCGCCUGGGGACUACGGCCGCAAGGUUAAAACUCAAAGGAAUUGACGGG
rnacentral:rRNA from 1 species